GACUCAUAAUUCACCCCCUUGUGUUAAGCAAGAACUUUUCCCAUGUGAGUGUUUAUAAAUUACACUGUCUGGAAAGAUAACUUGACAAGUUAUCUUGACACACCUUAAAGCCAUACAUAGAAGUCAGGAUAGAUGAAGGAAAGGUGGACUGGGUUCUCUCUGCCCUUUCACAAAGGAAGUGACUCAAGAUACCUGAUAUACUCUCAACCCUCAGAAAAUGAACCUCUUUCCAUUCACUUGAUCCCACCAGUCACAAAGCACUGACUCUGUCAUGCACCAGAGGGGCAGCAUGAAUAAGAAGUGUUUACACUCUGAAGGAGCCGACCCAACCAAAGUGAGAGAUUCAGACAUGGAACAGAACGCCAAGUCAUCAUGUAAAGAAGUCCAGGCUACCCUAAUAGAGAAGCCAAGAAGAGAGAAUCAAGAUGCCCCAGCCAAAAACCAGCACCAACAGGUUAAAAGGAACCCUCCACUGUCUUAAAGGUUGAAUGCAGCUACCUGAGUGAGUCUAGGCAAGACCAUCAGACCUGCCGGCCAAUCCACAGGAUCACAAGGAAUAAUAAAUAGUUAUUGUUUCAUGUAAGCCACCA